rnacentral:rRNA from 1 species
GACGAACGCUGGCGGCGUGCUUAACACAUGCAAGUCGAACGGAAAGGCCCUGCUUUUUUGGUGUUCUCGAGUGGCGAACGGGUGAGUAGCACGUGAGUAACCUGCCCUUGACUUUGGUAUAACUUCAGGAAACUGGGGCUAAUACCGGAUAGGAUCUCCUGCUGCAUGGUGGGGGUUGGAAAGUUUCGGCGGUUGGGGAUGGACUCGCGGCUUAUCAGCUUGUUGGUGGGGUAGUGGCUUACCAAGGCUUUGACGGGUAGCCGGCCUGAGAGGGUGAACGGCCACAUUGGGACUGAGAUACGGCCCAGACUCCUACGGGAGGCAGCAGUGGGGAAUAUUGCACAAUGGGCGGAAGCCUGAUGCAGCAACGCCGCGGGCGGGAUGACGGCCUUCGGGUUGUAAACCGCUUUCGCCUGUGACGAAGCGUGAGUGACGGUAAUGGGUAAAGAAGCACCGGCUAACUACGUG